rnacentral:rRNA from 1 species
UAGCCUUGACAUACUACAGAAUUUGACAGAGAUGUUGAAGUGCCUUCGGGAGCUGUAAUACAGGUGCUGCACGGCUGUCGUCAGCUCGUGUCGUGAGAUGUUGGGUUAAGUCCCGCAACGAGCGCAACCCUCGUCCUUAGUUACUAACGGUUCGGCUGAGGACUCUAAGGAGACUGCCUUCGUAAGGAGGAGGAAGGUGAGGACGACGUCAAGUCAUCAUGGCCCUUACGGCUAGGGCAACACACGUGCUACAAUGGUUAGGACAAUGAGAAGCGAUACCGCGAGGUGGAGCAAAUCUAUAAACCUAAUCUCAGUUCGGAUAGCAGUCUGCAACUCGACUGCUUGAAGCUGGAAUCACUAGUAAUCGUAAAUCAGCUAUGUUACGGUGAAUACGUUCCCGGGUCU